UUUUGUAAAUAGGUUGUGUGCAAAUUGAAGUGGUUGGAAAAUCUAUUGGUCGUGCACAUUUUAAAAACUCUUUGUGAAAUAAAGUGUUGGACUCAGACUUCCAAGUGGCCACCAGUCUGGAGCAAAGUAUAUUGAGAAGUAAAAUGGUUUGUUUCUUCAACUGCUCAUCCCCUUUUGACAUCUGUUCCCUUGGAGGAUGCCAGUGCCCCAGGACCUGGUGCUGGAGAUAACGGCAGCUGGAGCUCACCAGCUUCUUGGACUCACAAAGGUGUGAGCCGCAUGACUUCUCAGGUACUGACCACAUCCAGAAGGAAUUGGAAAUGAUGCAGAUCCUCAUUGCUCUGGGCCUGGUUUGCUGCCUGUCAUUCCUCAGGAGUUCCCUGGUCUACGGAGCCCAAGCUGUGCCAUUUAUAUCAGUAAGUGGCUAUUCACCCUGCAAUUAUAAAAGUUUUUUUCAUGAAUAUAUUAUGUAGUAUGUUGAUCAAUAUAGGCAUUUGAGCAUCUUCUCACCUUCAAGUAACCAUUACUCUGUAUAUGAUACUAUAUUAAUUAUGAUAAUCAUACAGCUGUUUCUCUAUAUCUGUUCAUCUGUUAUCUACCAUCUAUCUAUCAUCUAUCGUUUAUCAUCUAUUAUCCAUCAAAUGAGAGUCUAUUUAAGAUCUACUUAGAUCUAUACAAAAAUACAAGUUAUGUUGCUCAAACCCUAAGAAUAGACUGAGUCUGUGGCUGAAAGUUCAGUAAUGAUUUCUAUAACCCAGUAAGCUUUCAUGAACUAAGACAGAACUUCUCAAAGUCUCUGAACCAUUAUUCAGCAUCAUAGUAAAAAAGCAUAAUCUUGACGUUAUUCUUACCAGGAUACAUGUUUCAGAUAUAUCUCCAAGAGAAAAUAACUUUAAUUAAGCACAUUUUCUAUAACCAUAAAGGUUUAUUUCAUGGAAAUAAAGGAAAAACAUUCAGAAGCUAUUUAGAAAAAAAAGCAUCUCCAUUCACAGACUUGAAAGGGACCAAAAUCACCUUCUCAUUAUGAAUUUUUAGAACCUGAGGCUUAAAAGUUUGCAUCCACUUUCCAAGAUCAUGAAUUAGAUUUGGAGGUUAGAAGUCAGAUCAUGUAAACCCCUAUUCAGUGACCUUUUCACUACACAAUAUUUGGUAGAACUUGGUGGUAUAUGUUAAGUCAAAAAUAUCAAAAUAUGAAAAAUAUUCAUAUUUUCUGCCCUAAAUUAUAUAGUCUAAUAUCUAUAUUCUCUAUUUUUUAGGUAUAAACUUAUGUUUUAUUUGAUGGUUUUUGAAGAAGGGUUACUAAAACAGCAAUCAAAAUGAUUAAUCUCAUUGCUAUUGUAAGAACAGGUUUAGUUUAUUUAAUUUUAUUUGUGUAUGACUUUGAAAGCUUACUCUAAAAGAACAUUUGGGGAGCCUGGGUGGCUCAGAUGGUUAAACAUCUGACUUUAGCUUAGGUCAUGA